rnacentral:rRNA from 1 species
GACGAACGCUGGCGGCGUGCCUAAUACAUGCAAGUUGAGCGAUGAAGAUUGGUGCUUGCCCCAAUUUGAAGAGCAGCGAACGGGUGAGUAACGCGUGGGGAAUCUGCCUUUGAGCGGGGGACAACAUUUGGAAACGAAUGCUAAUACCGCAUAAUAACUUUAAACAUAAGUUUUAAGUUUGAAAGAUGCAAUUGCCUCACUCAAAGAUGAUCCCGCGUUGUAUUAGCUAGUUGGUGAGGUAAAGGCUCACCAAGGCGAUGAUACAUAGCCGACCUGAGAGGGUGAUCGGCCACAUUGGGACUGAGACACGGCCCAAACUCCUACGGGAGGCAGCAGGAGGGAAUCUUCGGCAAUGGACGAAAGUCUGACCGAGCAACGCCGCGGGAGUGAAGAAGGUUGUCGGAUCGUAAAACUCUGUUGGUAGAGAAGAACGUUGGUGAGAGUGGAAAGCUCAUCAAGUGACGGUAACUACCCAGAAAGGGACGGCUAACUACGUG